CCUACGUGUGGCAGCAGUGAGGAAUAUUGGUCAAUGGACGAGAGUCUGAACCAGCCAAGUAGCGUGAAGGAUUACUGCCCUAUGGGUUGUAAACUUCUUUUAUAUGGGAAUAACAUGUUCCACGUGUGGGAUUUUGUAUGUACCAUAUGAAUAAGGAUCGGCUAACUCCGUGCCAGCAGCCGCGGUAAUACGGAGGAUCCGACCGUUAUCCGGAUUUAUUGGGUUUAAAGGGAGCGUAGGUGGAUUUUUAAGUCAGUUGUGAAAGUUUGCGGCUCAACCGUAAAAUUGCAGUUGAAACUGGCAGUCUAGAGUACAGGAGAGGUGGGCGGAAUUCGUGGUGUAGCGGUGAAAUGCUUAGAUAUCACGAAGAACUCCGAUUGCGAAGGCAGUUCACUGGACUGCAACUGACACUGAGGCACGAAAGUGUGGGUAUCAAACAGGAUUAGAUACCCGUGUAGUC
rnacentral:rRNA from 1 species